AUGAGAGCCACAAGGACCUCCGGUGCUGUGCCCCCUCCCCAUGUGCCACCUGAGGGGGGGCUGCGGGUGCCCCGCUUUGGCAGAAUACUUUUUGUGGGUCGCCCCCUGAAGUUCUGUGCUUGUGCAGGGCUCAUGUCAAUAAGCCCGGUCCGAGCAGCCCAACUUGGGCAUUUUAUGGGGCAGGACGUGCAGAUCCUCUCUGCUUUCAUUGCGCUGCCAGGCACCGAUUUGGAGAUACGUGGGCAUGAGAUGACCGCAUCAAUACCUUGGUCUCACCUGGAAAAAGGGGAGGAAACCUCACGAAGCACCGUGGCAGAGCACGUCUGCCUUGGGUCCUUCCGUGCAGGCGUCAGGGCUUUAAUGCCAGCCCCCAAACCCUCCCCGAGCCCGUCCCAGCCCCUGGUGCGGGCAGAGGCGGCCGGGCGCUGCCGUCCUGCUGCUCCCCAGCUGGGGCUGACGGCUCCUGUAAAGCUCCCGAGCGUUUGCAGCAUCUUUACGAAGCAGCCGAUUGAAGUGCGCCAUGAAUGCUCCUCUGUUCAUCAGCCUUUUUAUAGCUCCGCGCGUUUUUUUUGGCCCCCGAGCCUUUUCUGCUCCCGGGGAGAACAGAGGGCAUUUCUCAGCCUCGGCGUCCGCCGCGAGACGGGGCAGGCAGGUGGGAGGGGGCUCGGUGGGUGCCAGGCAGCUCGCGUUUCGGGGAGGGGGGCCGUGCUGCCCAAAAUGCGACGCUGGCAUCUCACCGAUGCCCCGGUGCAGGCUGAAAGCUCGGCACUGCUCCACCGAUGCGUUUUGCAGCUCAGGUGUGGAGGCAGCAUCGUGCCGUGGUGCGCUGGGAGCCCGGCAGAGACCUCGGCAGCUCGUGGCACGCAGCGUUUGCGCCGUCAGUGCUGUCACCGCGCUGAGCUGCAAAAAUUGGUAGCGGCGUAUUUUGUCCCCCCGGUGUCUCAGUCCAGGCUCCGUCCUCCGGGGCGUGCUGUUUGCUGCAAAGCCCCAAAUGCGAGAGGGAAGGGAAUCCUCCUGCCUGAAGGUGGAUUUGCUCCUGUCCUGCAGAAAUAUCGUGCGACAUGCUGGAGGUAA
rnacentral:lncRNA from 1 species